AACUCUUUGCGAUUCUGUGGACUGUAGCCCACCAGGCUCCUCCAUCCAUGGGAUUCUCCAGGCAAGAAUACUGGAGUGGGUUGCCAUUUCCUUCUCCAGGGGAUCUUCCCAACCCAGGGAUCAAACUCAGGUCUCCUGCAUUGCAGGCAGAUGCUUUAACCUCUGAGCCACCAGGGAAGCCUCAUAUAAUUAUAAUUAUACCGUAUUUGUCCUCUUCUACCUUGCUAAUUUCACUUAGCAUAAUGGACUCUCAACUUUUAAACUAUAUAUAUUCCAAAGUCAUCUGGAAAGUGAUUGAAAUUUCCAUAUGGAAAAAGAAUGAAGAUGACUCUUCCCAGACCUGGAGGAAGGAGUGAAUGCAGGCUUGCCGGGUCUUAUUUUCCUGACCAAGGAUUGAAACCAUACCCCCUUCAGUGGAAGAGUGGAGUGCUAACCACUGGACUGCCAGGGAAUUCCCGAAACCAAGUAUUUGAAGUGAUCUCUUGGCCCUGCCCUACCUAACUUGGCAUGCUUCCACCCCAAUAAUAUGGGAUCCUAGUUCCCUGACCAGAGAUUGAACCAGCACCCCCUGCGUUUGAAGCACGAAGUCAUAACCACAGGACCACCAGGUGACCCUCAGGCCACAGUUCUUUAUUCUACUUUAUUUCAGCGGAAUAAAGAUAAUACAAAGCCAGAGUACAUCAUGAGAAAUGCUGGGCUGGAAGAAG
ensembl:lncRNA